CUUGGUCAUUUAGAGGAAGUAAAAGUCGUAACAAGGUUUCCGUAGGUGAACCUGCGGAAGGAUCAUUAGUGAAUUUUAGGGCGUCUACUUGUAGAGCCUGACCCUCCACUUCUAACACUGUGCAUUAUUCGGUCAUUUGGCGACGUACCUUCGGGUGUCGAGCUGUUUGGCUAAUUUUACCAUUAAACAUUAGUACCAGUAUGUAACGAAAUAUCGAAACAAAAAAAAAACUUUCAACAACGGAUCUCUUGGCUCUCGCAUCGAUGAAGAACGCAGCGAAAUGUGAUAAGUAAUGUGAAUUGCAGAAUUCAGUGAAUCAUCGAAUCUUUGAACGCACCUUGCGCUCCCUGGUAUUCCGGGGAGCAUGCCUGUUUGAGUGUCAUGAACUCUUCAACCCACCAGUUUCUAGUAGACUGUGUGAUGUUUGGAUCUUGAGCGUUGCUAGUCUGACUAGCUCGUUCGUAAUAUAUUAGCAUCUCUAAUUCGACUUCGGAUUGACUCAGUGUAAUAGGACUAUUCGCUGAGGACACUUUUAUUAGUGGCCGUAUGAGAACCAGUAGAAGCUUCCAACUACUUAGUCAACUUUGAUUUAGACCUCAGAUCAGGCAGGAUUACCCGCUGAACUUAAGCAUAUCAAUAAGCGGAGGA
rnacentral:rRNA from 1 species